GUCAUAGCUAGAUCAAUUGGUAGAGCAUGAGACUCUUAAUUUCAGGGAAGUGGGUUCAAGCCCAACGUUGGGCA